AGGGCGCGGACCUGGACUGUCAGAAUUUAUUACUGCUUCCGUCAAAAACUUGCCGCAUUCAUUGGGCUUCGAGCGAGCCCUGUUUGGUACGGAUCGGACGUACAUUUGCGGAGGAAUGGACUUUCAAGGGCGACCAUUUUCGAGAGCGCAACCUUCCUAAUUUUGACGUUUUGCAAGCUGUAGCUGGAAAACGGGCGAAAUAUCAUUUAUGCGACAUGGAAUACCACCUGCCAGGGAAACUGAUGAAACUAAAGCAUCUACACCGCAAUGGGGUAUAAUUACUCAAAGAGUUGAUCAUUUCAAUCCAGCUGACAACAGGACGUGGGAUAUGAGGUAUAUACAAAAUAACGAGUUUUAUGAAGAAGGUGCACCCAUGUUCGUGUUUAUAGGGGGUGAAUGGGGCAUUUCAUUGAACUGGGCUAGGUCAGGUCAUUUUUUUGACAUAGCUCGUUCACAUAAUGGCGCUUUCUUCUACACAGAACACAGAUUUUAUGGCGACAGUUAUCC